CAACAAGACAACCCACCUAAAACCUAAAUUCAACUAAAUCCUCCCAAUCUAUCUGAAACCAACUACCGCUUUUCUUCUUGAAUUUGUCGUUGAAUCAAUUUCCAUGGCAUAUUCAAAUUAGCCAACUCUCACGCCUGGUAUCCGUUGUCACCAUCGUCUUUCAUCGGAGGUUGUAUUGAUACUGCGCCAAAUAACCUGGUGCAUCUUUGCGCAUCUGUACAAUUAUUUCUGAGGGUGGUCUGAUGAUCCAUGAUCUCUCCAGCGUCCCCAUAGCCUCCAAUGCUGCAACCUUGUGAGCCAACCGAUUUCCUUCUCUUGGAGUCCAUGUGAAGCCAAAUUCGGUUUCCCCUCUUAAUAAUGGCCUGUCUGAUUGCUAAAGCUUCCGCUGCUAGACUAGAACCCGCCAUAAUUUUUGUUGAUUCCCCAAUUACAAGAUUUCCUGUACUGUCUCUGAUUGUCACUGCAGUGGCUCCUGUCCCUGUUGUUGCUUUAAAGGAUGCAUCAACAUUAGCCUUUACCCAAGGCUCCGGGGGAGGUCUCCAGGGAUGGUAUGAGAAAUUACAAACCAGCUCCCAUUCUAUGAUAUCUUUUGUGAAACUUACUUCUCAAGGAUCAGAACCCUUUGAUAAUCCAACAUUCUAUUGUUUUAUAGUCGGUGGUGUACAAUAUGCAACACUAUCUCAUCCUGAGAUUGUAUUUUCUAUAAAUCGUGUUAAUGCUGAUUAGGCAAAUACAUGUGGAUACUGCCUCUUCUUUGGAACAACCCAAUUUUCUGGUCAAGUAGGAUGCAACGCACAAUAAGCAAAUCAUCUACUGAGACUAAAUUUCGUUGAUUGGCAGACACUGAAUCUGAAAUCCUAUGAAUCCAAAAAUUCCUGCAAGAAUUAAGGAUUUAUUGUCCAAUUCUACCCACAAUUUUCUAUGACAAUAAAAGUGUUAUCUUACUUUCAAAAAAUUCUAUAUUAUACAAUACAUUUAAGCAUUUUGAGAUCAAUUUACACUUUGUGCAGCAACAUGUGAUUUCUAAGCAGCUCUAUAUU